rnacentral:rRNA from 1 species
GCGUUGUCCGGGAUUAUUGGGCGUAAAGGGCUCGUAGGCGGUCCAUCGCGUCGGGAGUGAAAUGCUGGGUCUCAACCCCAGACCUGCUUCCGAUACGGGUGGACUAGAGGUAGGUAGGGGAGAUCGGAAUUCCUGGUGUAGCGGUGAAAUGCGCAGAUAUCAGGAGGAACACCGGUGGCGGAGGCGGAUCUCUGGGCAAUUGCUGACACUGAGGCGCGACAGCGUG